GAUGAACGCUAGCGGCAGGCUUAAUACAUGCAAGUCGAGGGGCAGCACGGUUAGCAAUAACUGGUGGCGACCGGCGCACGGGUGCGUAACACGUAUACAAUCUACCUUAAACAGGGGAUAGCCUUUCGAAAGAGAGAUUAAUACCCCGUAAUAAAUUGAACGGCAUCGUUUGAUUUUGAAAGCUCCGGCGGUUUGAGAUGAGUAUGCGUCUGAUUAGCUAGUUGGUGAGGUAACGGCUCACCAAGGCGACGAUCAGUAGGGGAUCUGAGAGGACUAACCCCCCACACUGGUACUGAGACACGGACCAGACUCCUACGGGAGGCAGCAGUAAGGAAUAUUGGUCAAUGGAGGCAACUCUGAACCAGCCAUGCCGCGUGCAGGAUGACGGCCCUAUGGGUUGUAAACUGCUUUUAUACAAGAGAAAACCCUGGUACGUGUACCAGGUUGAUAGUAUUGUAAGAAUAAGCAUCGGCUAACUUCGUGCCAGCAGCCGCGGU
rnacentral:rRNA from 1 species